rnacentral:rRNA from 1 species
CCUACGGGUGGCAGCAGUGAGGAAUAUUGGGCAAUGGGCGCUAGCCUGAACCAGCCAAGUCGCGUGAAGGAUGACUGCCCUCUGGGUUGUAAACUUCUUUUAUAUGGGAGUAAAGUGCAGUAUGUAUACUGCUUUGCAUGUACCUUAUGAAUAAGGAUCGGCUAACUCCGUGCCAGCAGCCGCGGUAAUACGGAGGAUACGAGCGUUAUCCGGAUUUAUUGGGUGUAAAGGGAGCGUAGGCGGGUUGUUAAGUCAGUUGUGAAAGUUUGCGGCUCAACCGUAAAAUUGCAGUUGAUACUGGCAUCCUUGAGUACAGUAGAGGUAGGCGGAAUUCGUGGUGUAGCGGUGAAAUGCGUAGAUAUUACGAAGAACACCGAUUGCGAAGGCAGCCCACUGGACUGCAACUGACACUGAGGCGCGAAAGUGUGGGGAGCAAACAGGAUUAGAUACCCGUGUAGUC